ensembl:lncRNA
CUGAAAACCCGCUGAAUCGUUCCUCUUGACGGGUCUCUUCUCUGCAGCCACAAGUGUCUGAGUGUGGAGGAAGGUGUUCUACACGUGUAAUACCUGCAGGACCAUCCUUGAUGUUUACCUGUGAAAUUCUUCCUCUUUCACAGGAGUGAAGAACGUUUUCAUUUCACACAUUCUGCCAUCUGAGAAGUUUUCUUUGGUGACAAAUGUUUGCUCGUGCUUUAUCCUGAUAAGAUAAAUGUCACUUUUCUAAAAUCCAGCAAUCUUCUCCUCUCUUUUGUUCUAUAUUUCACUCUCUCAUCGUCCAUUUUCCUCUUCAUCUUCAUCUCUCCCAAUGUGUCCUUUCCUCUCGUCUUUCCUCUCCUCGCCCGUAUUCCUCCUCUCUCCUCCCCACUUUUCCUCCUCAAACACGUCUCCUCUUUUCCUGCGUCUCUUUCACUCAUUUUAACUCACCUCCUCCCUCCUCUGCUUGACUCCUCCUCUACUUCCCUUCCUCCUCCUUUCAUCAAGCCUUCCUCCCUCCUCUCCCUUACCGCCUCUCCUGCUCCCAUGAACUCCUCCCUUUUCCCUCUCUUCCCAGCAUCUGUCCUCCUUUCCUUUUCUCCUUUUUUAAACUGCUCUUCCAGGUUUUCCUUUCCCCUUUUAAUCUUGUCUCCUCUUUCCUCGGCUUGUUUUCCUCCUUCAUCCUUUCAUCUUCCUCCUUCUCCUCGUCGCCGCUUUGAUCCCAAUGUGCCAAAAAAAAUCCCCAGCAGAUCCUCCUUUUUAACUCUGUUCACUUUCAGUCCUUCAGCUGGCGAAUUAGAAGACACUUUAUUUAAAUAAAAUACACUCGCUGUUUGUUUUCAAAGUGUCUGUACCUGACCCGUGCGUGUGUGUGUGUGUGUGUGUGUGUGUGUGUGUGAUCUCUCAUCUGACUGCCUCGUGUCAUCGGUACAUUUCUCCUCUCCAUCCUAAUUCCCCCCGGAGACGUUCGACUGAGGGACAGAAAUAUCUAUGCAAAUAUAUUCAGAUAAGUCUCGUUAAAAAAAAUAAGAAUGUAAAUAGGAAAUGGUCCUUCUCAUAAACCUGGAAUUUACAUGAAAGUGAAGCACACGAUGAAGGAAGCGUGAAAGUAAUGAGGCAUCUUAAGGCGUUUCAUUUGAGAUAUUUUGGACCUUCAGGGAUUUUAAACCUCUUCAAGUGGCGUGUAAACGACCUCUGGAUCAUUACUUCCCUUCUGGUUUGACCUUUAUGAACUUUAAGUAAGAUCCCGUUCCGGUAUUUAUUAUUCUAUUUCUUUGUUUAAUAGCCCGUUGUGUCUCUCUCUUUAACCCGUGUUGCCAAAAACGUUCCUAACUUUCAUUUAUGAAACACACGUGAAGAUGACAUGCACAUGCAAAGACACGUGAUACGUGUGCAGUGUUCAUUCAUUUAACAGCACGUCACAAGUAUUUUACAGAUUUAGUUUGAUGUUUUAACGGAGAAUAUUUUCCCACAGUGGCUUCACACCUCAAACAAUCUGCUAAAAGUCUCAUCUGG